GAAGACGAAAAAGCUACAAUAGCCACUGUUAUUUCUCCAGUGAGAAGAUCUCCCAGGCUAUAUAGUCGUAGAUAAUGAUCUGUCACAUAAACUAGUGGUGGAUAGUCAAACUUUUGGUUGAAACAAGAAAUACGUAUUGUUAAUGUAAAGGUGUUUGUGAUAAUUGCAUUUCUAUCAUAGCUACAUAACAUAUUUAUAAGGAUUGACAUC
rnacentral:lncRNA from 1 species